GACGAACGCUGGCGGUGUGCUUAACACAUGCAAGUCGAACGGUAAGGCCCUUUCGGGGGUACACGAGUGGCGAACGGGUGAGUAACACGUGAGUAACCUGCCCUCAUCUCUGGGAUAACAGUCGGAAACGGUUGCUAAUACUGGAUAUGAGCUUGCAAGGCAUCUUGUGGGUUGGAAAGAUUUUUUGGUUGGGGAUGGACUCGCGGCCUAUCAGCUUGUUGGUGAGGUAGUGGCUCACCAAGGCUUCGACGGGUAGCCGGCCUGAGAGGGCGACCGGCCACAUUGGGACUGAGAUACGGCCCAGACUCCUACGGGAGGCAGCAGUGGGGAAUAUUGCACAAUGGACGGAAGUCUGAUGCAGCAACGCCGCGUGCGGGGAUGACGGCCUUCGGGGUUGUAAAACCC
rnacentral:rRNA from 2 species